UGAAGAAUCUCAGAUGCUAGCCAGACC
rnacentral:piRNA from 1 species